CAUAUACUAUAUAAUAAGGUACUUGCAACGUGUACGAUUACAGAGAAGAUUAGCAAAGCCUCUGCUCAAAGAUGACACACACAAAUUGAGAAAUAGUUCAAUUUUUC
rfam:Brassica rapa chromosome A2, whole genome shotgun sequence.